rnacentral:rRNA from 1 species
AAUAUUGGAAAAUGGGCGAAAGCCUGCUCCAGCCAUGCCGCGUGUGUGAAGAAGGUCUUCGGAUUGUAAAGCACUUUAGGUUGGGAGGAAGGGCAGUAAGUUAAUACCUUACUGUAUUGACGUUACCGACAGAAUAAGCACCGGCUAACUCCGUUCCAGCAGCCGCGGUAAUCCGAAGGGUGCAAGCGUUAAUCGGAAUUACUGGGCGUAAAGCGCGCGUAGGUGGUUUUUUAAGUUGGAAGUGAAAGCCCCGGGCUCAACCUGGGAGCUGCUUUCAAAACUGGCAAGCUAGAGUAUGGCAGAGGGUGGUGGAAUUUCCUGUGUAGCGGUGAAAUGCGUAGAUAUAGGAAGGAACACCAGCGGCGAAGGCGACCACCUGGACUGAUACUGACACUGAGGUGCGAAAGCGUGGGGAGCAAAC